ACGCGGCUUUGCGAAUCGGUUGGAUCUGGAGGAGGAGGAGGAGAGGAAGCGGGAGGAGAUCGGUUUUGGGACGCCGAAGUGGAAGAGCGNNNNNNNNNNCGAAGUUGAAGAGCGUGAGGAGAAGGAAGAGGAGGGAGAAGACGAGGAGAGCGAUGAGGAGGAAGUUCGUGAAGAGGAAGUUGAUGAGAGCUGUUCGUUGUUUUCGUGGUUUUCGAUUGAUCGGGAGUUUUGAUUUGGAUGAGGAUGUUGUUGGGAGAAGGGAUUGACGCCAGCCGCUUCCGCUUCCGCUGCCGGGGGGACUACGGCGGGUGUUGCCGCCGAUGAAGGGCAUGUCUCUCCUCCUCGGAAAUUCCGAAGUCUUUUGCUAAUGAAACUACGUCGUUUUUUACCUGAUCCGUUUAGUUUCUUUCGGCUCUGAGUUUUAUAUAACUGAAUGACGGUGGACUUUUCUUGUGGUUUUACGGUAGAUUCGAGUAGUGCGUCAGUGGUAGUAUUGUCUUUUAAUCAAGAGCUAGAUUCCGG
rnacentral:lncRNA from 1 species